rnacentral:misc_RNA from 1 species
GAAGUGCGAUAAGCAAUGCGAAUUGCAGAACCGUGAGUCAUCAGAUUUUUGAACGCAACUGGCGCUAAUUGGAAUCCCAAUUAGCAUGCUUGUUUCAGUGUCUUUUUUUCUCAUCACCCAAAUCAUAAUGCGAGAGAUACCCUUCUCUUGUUAAACAUGAAAGCACUCUACGCUCUGCGAGCGACUUCGGUCGCAAUCAAUGCAGCAGUCACAUUGUCUCAAUGUGAACUCAUUGACAGUAGAGCUAGCGCAAGGAAACUUGUUAGUGCUUAGUUAUACAAACUUUUCAUGCAUCUGAAAUCAAGCAGGAUCACCCGCUGAACUUAA